AGUUACGCUAGUGGAACUGACGGUGACUUUAAAGUUGCUGAGGAAGGUCCGCCCAUCGUAAAUGAGCCUUACUUGAUGUUCGCGUUUAGUAAGAAGUGGAGACACUUAGCUCUGGCACAGAAACGACACGUCCUACAUUUAAUGGAAUGAUAGAUGCGAAGUUUUGCGCGAGCAAAAUGAGAACCUUAACCUCUUGACGUCGAUGUAGGGAUCGGUGGAACGUGCGAAUCUGCUCUGAUGCAAGUUGUUACAACGCUUAGUCGAAUGUUCCUCUCAGUUAUCGGGAUUUUACUUAAUGUAAAGUGCUUUGGACUGGACAGAAGGUGGCCUAUUGCGUAACU
rnacentral:RNase_P_RNA from 1 species